rnacentral:rRNA from 1 species
UACGUAGGGGGCAAGCGUUGUCCGGAAUUAUUGGGCGUAAAGAGCGCGUAGGCGGUCCGGUAAGUCGGCUGUGAAAGUCAAGGGCUCAACCCUUGAAAGCCGGCCGAUACUGUCGGACUAGAGUCCGGAAGAGGCGAGUGGAAUUCCCGGUGUAGCGGUGAAAUGCGCGGAUAUCGGGAGGAACACCAAUGGCGAAGGCAGCUCGCUGGGAUGGUACUGACGCUGAGGCGCGAAAGCGUGGGGAGCAAACAGG